GACGAACGCUGGCGGCGUGCCUAACACAUGCAAGUCGAGCGAGUGGAUCUCCUUCGGGAGUGAAGCUAGCGGCGGACGGGUGAGUAACACGUGGGCAACCUGCCUCAUAGAGGGGAAUAGCCUUUCGAAAGGAAGAUUAAUACCGCAUAAGAUUGUAGCUUCGCAUGAAGUAGCAAUUAAAGGAGCAAUCCGCUAUGAGAUGGGCCCGCGGCGCAUUAGCUAGUUGGUGAGGUAACGGCUCACCAAGGCGACGAUGCGUAGCCGACCUGAGAGGGUGAUCGGCCACAUUGGGACUGAGACACGGCCCAGACUCCUACGGGAGGCAGCAGUGGGGAAUAUUGCACAAUGGGGGAAACCCUGAUGCAGCAACGCCGCGUGAGUGAUGACGGCCUCGGUUGUAAGCUCUGUCUUCAGGACGAUAAUGACGGUACCUGAGGAGGAAGCCGACGGCUAACUAACGUGCCAGCAGCCGCGGUAAACG
rnacentral:rRNA from 1 species